GACGUAGGGCGCGAGCGUUGUCCGGAUUUAUUGGGCGUAAAGAGCUCGUAGGCGGCUUGUCGCGUCCGGCUGUGAAAACCUGGGGCUCAACCCCGGGCCCUGCAGCCGAUACGGGCAAGCUAGAAUUCGGUAGGGGGAGACUGGAAUUCCUGGUGUAGCGGUGAAAUGCGCAGAUAUCAGGAGGAACACCGGUGGCGAAGGCGGGUCUCUGGGCCGAAUUACUCUGAGGAGCGAAAGCGUGGGGAGCAAACAGG
rnacentral:rRNA from 1 species